rnacentral:misc_RNA from 1 species
GAUGAAGAACGCAGCGAAAUGCGAUAAUUAAUGUGAAUUGCAGAAUUCAGUGAAUCAUCGAAUCUUUGAACGCACAUUGCGCCCGCCAGUAUUCUGGCGGGCAUGCCUGUUCGAGCGUCAUUUCAACCCUCAAGCACAGCUUGGUGUUGGGACUCGCGUUAAUUCGCGUUCCCCAAAUUGAUUGGCGGUCACGUCGAGCUUCCAUAGCGUAGUAGUAAAACCCUCGUUACUGGUAAUCGUCGCGGCCACGCCGUUAAACCCCAACUUCUGAAUGUUGACCUCGGAUCAGGUAGGAAUACCCGCUGAACUUAAGCAUAUCAAUAAGCGGAGGA